ACUCGGUUGUUCUGACGGUACCCAAAGAAUAAGCACCGGCUAACUUCGUGCCAGCAGCCGCGGUAAUACGAAGGGUGCAAGCGUUACUCGGAAUUACUGGGCGUAAAGCGUGCGUAGGUGGUUGUUUAAGUCUGUUGUGAAAGCCCUGGGCUCAACCUGGGAAUUGCAGUGGAUACUGGGCGACUAGAGUGUGGUAGAGGGUAGUGGAAUUCCCGGUGUAGCAGUGAAAUGCGUAGAGAUCGGGAGGAACAUCCAUGGCGAAGGCAGCUACCUGGACCAACACUGACACUGAGGCACGAAAGCGUGGGGAGCAAACAGGAUUAGAUACCUAGUAGUCCGCCUGCUCCCUCU
rnacentral:rRNA from 1 species